GACGAACGCUGGCGGCGUGCUUAACACAUGCAAGUCGAACGGAAAGGCCAUGCUUUUGUGGGUCGCACGAUUGCCGAACGGGGGAGUAACACGUGAGUAACAUCCCCUUGACUUUGGGGUAAAUCCAGGAAACUGGGGCUCAAACCGGGUAGGAGAUCCUGCUGCACGGUGGGGGUUGGUAAGUUUCGGCGGUUGGGGAUGGACUGGCGGCUUAUCGGCUUGUUUGGGGGGUAGGGGAGUACAAAGGCUGUGACGGGUAGCCGGCCUGAGAGGGUGACCGGGCACCUGGGGACUGAGGUAGGGCGCAGACGCGUACGGGAGGCAGUAGUGGGGAAUAUUGCACAAUGGGCGGAAGCCUGAUGCAGAGACGCCGCGUGCGGGAUGACGGCCUUCUGGUGGAAAACCGCUUUCGCAUGUGACAAAGCGUGAGUGACGGUAAUUGGUAAAGAAGCACCGGCUAACUACGUG
rnacentral:rRNA from 1 species